CAGCCGCCGCGGUAAUACGAAGGGGGCUAGCGUUGUUCGGAAUUACUGGGCGUAAAGGGCGCGUAGGCGGCCAUUCAAGUUAGAUGUGAAAGCCCUGGGCUCAACCCAGAGUCUGCAGGCGAAACUGUCGGGCUUGAGUAUGGGAGAGGUGAGUGGAAUUUCCGGUGUAGCGGUGAAAUGCGUAGAUAUCGGAAGGAACACCUGUGGCGAAAGCGGCUCACUGGACCAUUUCUGACGCUGAUGCACGAAAGCUUGGGGAGCAAACAGGAUUAGAUACCCCUGUAGUCCCUGUCUCUUAUAC
rnacentral:rRNA from 1 species